GCAAAUUUUCGGAAAGCAUUUCGUACGCGCUGAAUACGAGUAUCAAAUACACAAAAUAAAGUUCGUUUGUAUAAAGAAAAAAUAUGGCGCUAACUCUUUUCCGCACGCUGCUAUUGGCUGUUGCCACAAUGGGUUUGGCGCAGGCGCGUCAUGUGCCUGGCAAAACGGUGGUAAAUUACGUUGUGACGUCAUCAUUGCCCACAAUAGGGGUUGCACGCAAAGCAGGCAGUUGCCAAAAUGACAACAACUACAACAACAAAAGCUGCAUCAUUAACAACAACAAUGCAAGUAGCAUCCUUGACGCUGGCAAGCAGCACGCAAACGCUGAGUAUCCAAGCCAAAGAGCAUUGAGCCUCGAGGACAACGGCAACGGCGACGCUUUGACUGUCAACAUCAGCACGCCGAAGAGUGUAGUUCAGAAUUGGAGUUCGGUGUGUCAGCAGCUCUGCGGAGCUGGCUUAGGCGGCCCGCCAUGUCUUGCCCACUGUGACAGCAGUGACAAGCCGUCGCUUCCAUCAUACUUUGCAGACAACAAAUACGAUAUAUGCAGGGACCUCUGCAAGCUACAGCUCGGUGAUGUUAGUUGCGACUGUCAGCUCGAAGAAGUAACGUUGAUUACCUUCUCCAACAUGACAUUCCAGUAUGAAUUACGUAACAUAGUGUGUGGCAGCUUCUGUGAGCAUGGCGGUACAACGCUGAUCGGUUGUAGCAGUUGCCAGAUGGAGGUCGAUAAAAGCAAGAUAUAUAGAUCGUCAGAUGAGAGCACGACACCAGACUGGAAGGAGCUGUGCGCCACUUUGUGCAAAACCGGCGAUGGCGGGUCACUGUGCAAUUGUGAUUUGGCGCCGUUUUUUUAGAAGUCUAGCAGAGCAGCGAAACGCUAUGCCAACCACACGGUCCACACACGUGCAAACAAAUUGAAAUUGAAAUUGAAAUGUGGACAGACACAGCUGUUUAUGCGCUCAAAUUUGUCACAUAGGAUGGCGGCAAGGCAUUGCAAGCGGAGAAGAUCUACGAAGCGUGCAAAAAAAUAAAGGAAAUUAAAAAAAAAAAAUCCAAAAAAAAAUUUAAAAAAUACUCAAUCCCUAUGCGAAUCAA
rnacentral:misc_RNA from 1 species